UACGUAGGGUGCAAGCGUUGUCCGGAAUUAUUGGGCCUAAAGCGUCCGUAGCUGGCUUGUUAGAUGCCUGGGUAAAUCGAUGCGCUCAACGCAUCGAACUCCGGGUAGACCGGCAAGCUUGGGACCGGGAGAGGCGUGAGCUACUCGAGGGGUAGGGGUAAAAUCCUGUAAUCCUUCGGGGAGGACCAGUGGCGAAGGCGUCACGCUAGAACGGCUCCGACAGUGAGGGACGAAGCCCUGGGGCGCAAACCGG
rnacentral:rRNA from 1 species